rnacentral:rRNA from 1 species
UUAGGAAUUUUGGGCAAUGGGCGCAAGCUGACCCAGCAACGCCGCGUGUGGGAUGACGGCCUUCGGGUUGUAAACCUCUUUCGACAGGGACGAAGGGUGACUGACGGUACCUGUAGAAGAAGCACCGGCUAACUACGUG